rnacentral:rRNA from 1 species
GACGAACGCUGGCGGCGUGCUUAACACAUGCAAGUCGAACGGUGACGCGCCUUCCUUUUUGGUGGGUGUGGAUGAGUGGCGAACGGGUGAGUAACACGUGAGUAACCUGCCCCUUUCUUCUGGAUAACCGCAUGAAAGUGUGGCUAAUACGGGAUAUUCUGGGUCUGUCGCAUGAUGGGUCUUGGAAAGAUAUUGUUUCGGUGUGGGAUGGGCUCGCGGACUAUCAGCUUGUUGGUGGGGUGAUGGCCUACCAAGGCGGUGACGAGUAGCCGGCCUGAGAGGGUGGACGACAAUGCUGGGGAGGAGACACGGAGCAGACUCCUACAGGAGGCAGCAGGGAGGAAUAUUGCACAAGGGGCGGAAGGCUGAUGCAGCGACGCGGCGUGAGGGAUGGAGGCCUUCGGGUUGUGAACCUCUGUCGCGAGUGAAGCAGGCCUGCCUCGUUUGUGGGUGGGUUGACGGUAGCUGGAUAAGAAGCGCCGGCUAACUACGUG